UACGGGGGGGGCAAGCGUUGUUCGGAAUUACUGGGCGUAAAGGGCUCGUAGGCGGCCAACUAAGUCAGACGUGAAAUCCCUCGGCUUAACCGGGGAACUGCAUCUGAUACUGGAUGGCUUGAGUUCGGGAGAGGGAUGCGGAAUUCCAGGUGUAGCGGUGAAAUGCGUAGAUAUCUGGAGGAACACCGGUGGCGAAGGCGGCUCUCUGGAACGCAACUGACGCUGAGACGCGAAAGCGUGGGGAGCAAACAGG
rnacentral:rRNA from 1 species